rnacentral:rRNA from 1 species
CCUACGGGUGGCAGCAGUGGGGAAUAUUGGGCAAUGGGCGCAAGCCUGACCCAGCAAUGCCGCGUGAAGGAAGAAGGCCUUCGGGUUGUAAACUUCUUUGACAGGGGAAGAGCAGAAGACGGUACCCUGAAAACAAGCCACGGCUUACUACGUGCCAGCAGCCGCGGUAAUACGUAGGUGGCAAGCGGUGUCCGGAUUUACUGGGUGUAAAGGGCGUGUAGUCGGGAAGGCAAGGCAGAUGUGAAAUCUGGGGGGUCAAACUCCAAAUUGCAUUUGAAACUGUUUUUCUUGAGUACUGGAGAGGCAGACGGAAUUCCAUGUGUAGCGGUGAAAUGCGUAGAUAUAAGGAAGAACACCAGUGGCGAAGGCGGUCUGCUGGACAGAUACUGACGGUGAGGCGCGAAAGCGUGGGGAGCAAACAGGAUUAGAUACCCGAGUAGUC